UCGGACGUAGUGCACGGCGCACACCCGCUCUCCUCAAUCGUGCUUGUCGCUACAAGGAACGGCGGGAGCCUGGGUUCGACUCCCAGCGUCCGAA